GAGAACAAAAACAGGUUAAGGUUAAAAAUACGCUCCCGUUAGCAGAGAAAUGUAAACAGGCAGGCAGUGUGGCUGCCUCACAUCUGGACUCUCGUCUUGCUCCCCCUCGCUUUAGCUCGCAGGCUUGGUUGUAGCUCUGCAACAGAUCUCAUCUCUCAGUUUCAUCCUGGACCAGUCUACUAUUUUUUCUCACUGUAUACCUACAGGGAUUCUGCCUCUUUAGCUAUAACCAUUGAGACUACAGUUCUAUCUGCUGUCUCAAUUUAAAUGGUAAUAAAGUGAUGUCUUAAUUUCACAGUGGGAACAUCCCAGGCACUCUCAACCUCUGAGGGAACAAAAACCACCUGCCAUCCUAUUCCCCUCUUUUUCUUUCAAGACAAGUCACUUUAUCCUGGUUAACAUUUUAAUGGAAACGUCUUGCACUGACAGGAUAUGGGCUUUUCUUAUCCAGUGCUAUGUUUAUUCUAACAGCCUGAGGCGAGCAGAGAGAGCUCAUCUGCCACAAGGAAUCUAACACUACACACACACAUAGAAAGAGACACACACACCCAGGGGUGCCUGUCAGUGCACUCUCCAUUCAAACGCCCAGGGUGAAGUCUUUCUGGGAUGACCCUCAAAAUACACUACUACACAGCAUGCAGCACGCACAUGCACAGUGAAGCCCCCUGGGGGAAGGAAUGGGCCAAGAUAGUUUCCACAGACAGCUGUCAGCUCCUACUCCUCAGCAGUAUAUGGGUUCAGACUGGCUAAUUGAGCAGAUCGAGCAGUUUGCCUUGAAAUAAAGACAGUUUUAACAGACAUCCAACUGAUUUUGAAAGCCUAAAGGUGUCGUCAGGUGUGCGCUAAGGCUGACGAUGUGGCCAAAAAUCGAAGGGUGUGAGUGUUUCUGGAGUCUGAGUGUGCCUGGACAGUACAAUAAAAGCGAUUUUCUGUUGAAACAUGCAUACACAUUGUGACAUUCUCCAUUUUACAUCCACCUCAUGGUUGUGAAGUUUCCACUCUCAUCAUCAAGCAAUUUGCAAAUCACACUGUGAUGAAGAGCUCAUCCAUCUGCUGUACAGUCUGUGGGCCAUAUUGUUAAGCAGGAGGAAGAGGGAGGAAAGAAAUGCUCUCUCUGGCUCACUGCACACCUUAAGUGUGAAUACAGGUUGAUGCAGUGGAAAUGGGCAGUGUGCACUCCAUAUAAAUCCAGUUAUUUUGACAGAAUGCAGAUAGAAUACUAGCUGAGGUGGUUGAAACUACAAUAGUGAGAAGACCAUCAAAACAAUCGUCUUAAACCUCAGCACAGUAAUUGUGUAAAACUGUCUAUUAGACUACCUCUUAGGUUUAAUCACCAAUAAAGAAUUUAAUCAUUUAUAAUUUAGCUUUAAUAAUCAGGAGAAAGGUGAAACAGUAAGACAGCCAUGGCUGAGUUUGCCCCUGGAGCUUCUGCCACAGACUCGGCCACAAAUAUGCAAAUUCUAGAGUUGCCAGAGCAUGCUUUCUAGGCCUGCAAGUUCACAAAUCUGGCUGACCAUGACCAAACUAGCAGGCCUUUCCCUCUCUCUCUCACACACACACACACACAAGCACAGGCUCUCCCUGAAAGUAGUAAACAUGCCCUUUGGAGUUUGUCCAGCGAACCUGAAGCUGUUAACAGUUAGAAAUGAGAGGUGAAGUUUGGCACACACCUUGGCGCCACUGCUGCUUUGAUUAACAAAUAGGUAACAGCUCUCUUUACUGUACAAUACAAAUUACACUUUAGCUCCUCACACACUCUGUGUAUUCUCAACUUUUAAGCAUGUGCAUGUGUUCAAAUGAUUUGCCUAUAAAAACAGCCUGUUCCUCUUUACACGACAGUAACUUUAAUCUGAUCACAUAAAAAAAAUGAAAACACAAUUAAUUGGAGAAUAAAUUGGGAUUUUAUGUACACCUCCAAAAAGGAUGAACAAUGUACUGCUGCUGCAGUCAUCUUCAGUAUUGGUACUACAGCACCCACAAUGUACAUACACAUAUGCAGAGGCAAAGGAAGUACUGUCCUGCGCUGCGCUACUUGGCUUUAAUAUUUCAUACUUGCCAGCUGGAAGUAAAAGGCUGCCAACAACUGUACAAACACAUGCACUUUAAUAAGAAUUCCUACAGGACUGGACGCACUUUGUUUCUACUAAUAAAACCUUGACUGAAUGAAACUCAUACACACAUACACAUUUAGGAGGACAGCUGAGGGAUCACAGAGGAUUUCUUUGUCAAGAUCACUGCUAUGAUACAAGUGGUAAUCACUGUCAAGAUUGGGGCAAUAAGCAUAUGUUGCUGGUGGUUCUGAAGGGGAAAAGCUGUGGCAGGAACUCCAGGCCUGAUGACAGUCAGACUGAUACCACUGAUCCUGUCGCUAUUACACAACACACUUUGUCUGAUCUGUGGCUAAUGCUGCAUUAUCACCAUAUCUCCCUUUGGACCAUGGAGACUCAGGGUUGCAGCUGCAUGAACAGGCACACUCUCCCUCCCUCACACACACACACACACACACACACACACAUACACACCAUUUCCACAUGCCCUAUUGAUACCAGUUUUUUCCCAAAGAAUUGUUUGGAAAAAAUUUUAUGACUCAGUGCUGAACAAGCACAGCUUCCCUCUGCAGUAAGCUAUAACUGUUGGCCUUGGUGACAGAAUACACUGUAGCCACCCUCAGAUCCCACACAAUACCAAUUGGUAGACUUAGCUUUGUUUUUAUGUGUCUGAACUGACGUGAGAACUGAGGGUGAAAUGAAAGACGCACAAACGUAUUUAACUAAACUAUGUGACAAAGGCACAGUGGGAUUGGACUGCUUCUGCAGAGCAGUAGACGAAGAAAAGUUGAGCUCGCAGGAAAAUAAAUACCAUCCACUGCCUAGCAACUGGGCAAAAUGUACAACAGUUGUGGUUGUCUUUGACUCAUGAAGAAAAUUAGGAACAAAAAACAGCAGAGGAGGGGAAUGAGAGGCCAGUUCAGUUCUGUACUUGGAUGAGAUUAAUUAGCUUCUGUACGUCAGCUGCAAUUACCUUUCUCUCACACAAAAAAAUGUAGAAAACGGACAGAAAGAGGAAGAAUGUAAGUCUGUAUGUGCAUGCUUACAUAUCGUCAUUCUCCAUGUGUGAUGUGGGAGAAGGGUGUAUUAGCAUGAAGAUAUGUAGUGCUUGGAAAAAGCAGCAGGGAAUUUGUAAAUCUUCCAGCAAGACUCAGGAAAUUGCCUGAUUACCAGUGGGUUACAAUGUGACUGGCGGACAAGGAAAACCAACAUGGAGAUGGGUGCUGGGGGAACUAGCGCCAGGAUUAAACUGGGGUCCAGCUGCAGCAGGACAGAGCUGGGUGCCUGACCCAUGAUGGACAGACUGUAUUCACAGGUGGUGAGUGUCAUUAAGAGUGACACAAUCAGGUCAGAUGGCAGUUACAUUGAGUGAGUAAAGACUUUUUUGUUGUUAUAUUCCCUCUGUAUAUUACGAUACAACAUCCAAACAGAAACAUAAGCAGCUUUAAUCAAGACCUCAGGUGGCCACAGACUAAAGCAAACUUCCACUAAUUGUAAAAAGGGAGAGAAUAUGCUGGUCCCUUUGGGUCAGGUAAGAUAUCAAAAAUAAAGUGUGUUGUUGCUGUGGUGUACCUGGUGGUUUCAUUAAUCUAAUUGUUAUGGAGCUGAUACAGGAGAUUAUUCUUGUUUAUAUUUACAGAUAACAUGGGACCCAUUUAUUUUGUCCAUGGUACUUCAUUUGGACUCAAAUGAGUAUGCCUGUAAUUGGGUAUCCACCCCCGUUUGGGGAUGAGUAGGUAGUUGCUUUGGGGCCCCUGGGUAUGAAAAACAAUUAUCAUUAUUAUGGCAGGGGAAAUCUGUCUGUUCCCACUGUGCAAACAGGUGGUUAUGGGGCUAGGGUACAAUUAUGCGGCAUAGGUGUUAAGCUGCAAGCUUACAAAUCGGAAAGUCCAGCUGCACACAAUGAACAUUACAGCCAUGGACAGCAGCUAGUCUUUCUAUUCCACACCACUUUCUGAACUUUACCUUGCUAACACAGACAAAUGACUCUUUUACACUAUAUCAACAGUCUUUGAGUGCAACCUGAAGCCACAUUUGUCUUGGUGGAAAAAGUGAUGAUACACUACCACCUGUUAUUGUCCAAAGUGUAAAUAUUUCUGAGGUGAUCCAGUUUUCUAUCUGUGCUUUAUUAAACAUAGAAGCCCUGACUGAUCUUUAAGUGUAAUAUGGUCCAAACUGGGUGGAAGCUAUCAGCACUAAAAUGCUUUCUUAGUAAACUUGUGGUGACAAAAGUGGAGCAAUAACCACCUGAAUGUCUGCUGAUCGCUAAUGUACUCAGCAAGCCUGAAAAACAGGAGCAUCGAUUUCAAUUUGUACUCAUUUUCUCUUUAAAUGUGAAACUAUGUCCUAAUAAGGAAUUUCAGUUUACUUUUACAGAAAUAGGAUUUGAUAAGAACUGAUAGAGCUUUAUCUACUCCCACAUUUGACCAGUGAUGAAACCAAAUGAGAGGAAUAUGUGUGCCAGCCAGCUCUUCUGUGAGAACUCAUGCACGCACUGUCUCCAGAGUUUCGUUAUUCAGUGAAGCAUGAUGAAACUGACAAGUCCAGACAUAAAAGGAAGAAAGAAUGUAGGGUACUUCCUACUGCUCUGUGUCAAGACUGAGGAUCAACAGCUUUAAACAAUCAAGUAAUUUUCUUUAUCUUCCUGCAGUGCCUGCAUAUUGCAUCAGCAUCUCGCAGCCACAGCCUCAUCAAGUUUAAAAUGUAACCGUUUCAAAGGUCCGUCUCUCAUGGCAUUAAGGCUUUACUCUGUGUGUGAAUAAAUGUGCAUGUGUUUGGAGCAAGUGUGACCCAUCCUGGUGGGACUGGGAGCAAGACACAAAGGCAGCAGUGUGGGCCCCUGCUAGCUGAGAACACAGGCCCGCUGUUGAUGUUUAGGCUUGAAACCAUUCCAAUCAGCGCUAUAGCUCACACAAGUUACUCACACUGCUCCGCCUCCUUUCAGUCAGCAUGACAACUGCCUUCGCCACCCACAGCAAAUCGCUUUAUGGCCAGUGGCGAGAGAAAAUACUUGAGGGGACAUGACUAAAGAAGUUAAAUCCUGCUGCUGAUGAGAGGAACAUACUGUAUGUUGAACUGUGAAAUGAGUUCAGACAAUAAGCACUUAAAACCAAACAACAACGACAGGCCUGAUGAGUGUGACAAACUCAGUUUUAGAGCAUUAGCCUAAAGCACAUUGUGAUUUUUUUCUCUCUCUAACAAAUACUAAGAGCUUAGUAACAGCUUGGCUUAAUGAGAGUUGCAAUAGCUUUAAACAGAAAGUGGGCAUUAUCACCUCAACCACCAGUACAAUGUAAUAUAAUACAAUGUAAUAUAAUCCAACUGAACAUUUCAAGUUUUUUGUCCUGCAUUCUGUUCAUGACGUUGUGUGAACAUUCUGUAGGAACGGGUUGUUCGAUACUACCUCUCCAGUGUGUUCAUGUAGUCCUUGUUCAAACAUACUUUCAGAAGCUGCUCACAAUAUCCUAAAUUGACUGCCUUUGAGUAAUUACAGUGGUGCGGUGUUGUAAUUGUGGCAGCCAUUUGAACUGAACCCUCAGGCAUGCAGACAAUUUUCUGAAAAAUUAAUAAAGCAUUGGCUGUGCUGAAUGAAUGUCACAUGCUUUAAUGAGACAAUGAUUUGACAGAUUCUUAUGCUGCUACCGAGAAAGUUACAAACAAAGAGAAAGUUGAAUAAAACAUUGUAAAGAACACAAGAAUAUUUUCUUCUAAGGCUUGGCCAUCUACUAAAUCGAUAAUGGGCCAGGCCACUGGUCCUUCCUGUCCUCACUUCAGAGCAAAUCUGUUAAAUAAAUCAAUGUGUGACCUCACUGGUGACAGGGUGACCCAUGAAUAUCAGCCAUGCACUGGCUUUUAAGAUUAACUCUGAAGACAAUAGAGGCAAACACUGGAUGUCAUGAGGUUUCAAAUCGAUAUCCACUUAGAGACUUAACGCUGUUUAGUCCACUUUAAUGCGAUUUUUCCUGCUUCGUUAGAUUGCUGAUAAAUAAUGGUCGCAGUGCACAUAAGGCUCAUCUCACUGUUAGACAUUGCUUCUCACCCACUUGAGACAUCUCACAGUCUCUUUUCUCACUCUCCCUAGCCUGAGACACAUUGAGACUGAGGCAAAUAACACAAUGAGAUGCCUGAAUUCUCACAAUCUCCCCAUUAAUACACAAUACACUAAGCAUACAGGGGGAAAGUGAUGAGGCAGCUUGUGUUAAUGCCAAGAUGAGUAACUAAAGUGACAAAGAGAGCAAUGGGAAUUCAAGGAAACAAAGGUAGAGAAGAAAAGGAGAGGGUUAGAGGGGGGAAAAAACAACAAUAAAAGUGCUGAGCUGGCAGCUCUAACUGCAGCAGGAUCCAGUGAGACAAGACAGCCUCAAUAUAGUGAACUUUCUGACACACAUAAAGUCAUCUUGUGCGCAUCAAAAUGGCCAUUAUCUCUUCUCCAUCUCCCCAUGGCCUCGCUCUCUCUUUAUUCUACAAUCUGAUUAAUUUCAAUUUUCAUCAUUUCUCAAACUCUUCCUCCCACUGUCCUCGACCGCCUACACACCAACCGUGAACGGUCCGAUGCCGCCUGUUCUUCUCAGCUACAUGUUGAGAAAUGUGCCAAUCCAGACUCAAGAUUAGAGGCCCUCCGAGAGACACAUGUGCUGCUUCCUAUUCUCAGACCCAAUCAAGGAGGAAAUGGAAGCAGCUUGCAUGAACACGUGUACACUUGUGAACAGGAAAAAAAAACACACACACAUACACACAGAGAGACAUAUCUGUUCGUUUGAAAGACAGAGAUGGAGAGAUUCAGUCUCCUCCAACAGAUGGUUACCAUGCCUCGGGCAAAGAGCAAGUCUGGACAACACAGUCACAACUGCUGCCAAAGCAGAGGGGGAUAAGAGGCGUGAAGACCAUGUCUACUUCUUCCAUGUAUACUGAGUGAAUGUGUGGCAAGACUGACAAAAGGUGGCGGGAGAAAAGUACAUUCUAUGCUUUCACUUAAGGCAUUUGAUGACAAUUCUGUGGGAGGAUGCAAAUUUCCUUAACCAGUUGCUAGCCAGAGCAACAAUCAAUAUCUAUUAAUCAUUAAAAGCUUUUGUAAUAGAAACACACGUUUUCCCUCAGUGGUAAAGCAGCAAUAAUUAAGUGGUAAGACAAAGAGCUGAAAGGACCAGUGUGGGAGAAUUAAGACCUCCAACAUGUUAAGCUGCAACAUGUUUUACAGCCUCUGAUCGGGGUUAUAGUCGAUUAAUCAUUAACUUCACCGAUUCUGGAGGCAUGAAAAUGAAAGGAAAACAUCUAUUCAUGUAUGUGCUGCAUUUGAUUGUGGGACCACAAAAUAUGCAAAAAACAGGAAACGACAGAGCUUGAAGCACUAUGUGGUAGUUGUGGCACUCCAUUGAUAGAUAGAUAGAAAACCAAGAGUGGGAGGAGAUGGACAUGUUCUGAAAAAAAUAAUAAUAAUUUCAAGUUGGUAGUGUGCAUUGCAGUCUCUAUCUAUCUAUCUCUCUCUCUCGCUUUUUUUUUUUUUUUAAUAUUUUGUAUCAGAAUGAAAGGCGUAUUGUCAUAGAGGUUAGAUACAAGUGCCUACCAGCAAUACACUACCUUCCUUGAAGGCAAGGAUGCUGCACAGACAUCCUCUUUCCAUCAAUAGAAGACUAAAAUAUAGAGAGCUGCUGAAAGAGGAAACCCAAAUAAAAGACAGGGAAAUAAUGCUGAGGUAUCAUGUUGAAAUGUGUCUGAGAAACACUCAACUGAUAAUUGGAGCUCGCAGGAACUCAGGAUUCUGUCAGCCUUGAAAGUGUAAGAGAGAUACAGGUGUUAUUACAGGCGACUGGGACCUCUGGAACAAAAUGUCUCGAUCUCCUUACUCCCUCUGAGAGAUGUGGUGAGCAAAACACAAAGAAGGAAACAGCAGCUGGUAUAUGAGAGACUGACAGCUUCUGGCUAGCAUUCUCUUCUAGCCUUCUGCAGGUGCUGUCUUACCUUUCCAGACCUUGACAGUUGAUGAAACAGAUAAUCAGGGGCCACAUUAAAUGACCUAACUGUCCAACUUCUUUUUAUAGUUCAAGAAGAAAGAAGAUCAAAUGUUCUUAUUUCAGUUGCUAAACUGUAAUGGCAAAAAUCCCACAUUGUCUUUCUUGGCAAGAUAAGAUUGUGACAUGAGAAUCUUCGGUGCUGUGGAGUCAGGUGUCAGCAGUUUUGAUGGGGCAAAGAUGAAAUUACAAGGAAGCCGAGGAGAAAUGUGACAUGUUUUUACACAGCAAAAAUAUCUGUGGUGAGUUUUUACCCUCUGAGGCACCUCAAUGUCUUGCCCUAUUCACUAAUCUCUCUGUCUGAAAGAAACUUUGUCAACUACCCUGGCAACAGUUUCUCCCCUAAAGACCUUUUAUACACAUAGAGCAUGUCAGCAUACACACACAUACACACACACACGCCAAGUAAUUAGGAAAUUAUAUAUUUCACUAAUUGGAUAGAUGGAAAAAGGGAUGUAGAACAGGUAAUAUCUCUAAGGAGAGGCUGGGGCCUGAUGAGAUGGUGGCAGAAGUCAGAAGUGCUACGUGAUGGUGAAGUGGUCUUAGAGUUGGGAAAAGAAAGGCAGGACAAAGUCAGUUGGGGGUCAUGAAAAGCAGGAGGGGGAAUGUUUGGAUGACACUGAUGGGAGACUGAGAUUAGUGGGACAGCAAACCGUUAAUCAUAGCAAACAGGAGAGAGGAGGGGAGGAGGAGAGAAAGAGGGAGACCCUAAUGGGACACAAGAGCGAGGUCCCGCUGCGAGGGUGCCAAAUGAACUGCCCAGUCCUGGCCUUAACUGCCGAUGAUUGAAACAGCCUUGACAUCCACUCAGGAGUGGACAAGUGCAUAAAAAUCCAACAGGGAAGCUCCAAUUGACUGGGUGGCAACAUGAGUUGGCCAAUAUUUAUUACAAAUAACUCAAUAAUGCUCCUUAAAUUUGCUGAUGAGGAAAAAUUAAAACAGGUGAGGUCUCUCCCGCUUUCAUUUCUUUCAUGGCUUUGAUCCAAGUGUCUUCUCCUGCCUCAUUUCUUCUGCUCUGAAUUCUCAGAGUGAAACCAUUUGACAGAGCAGUGAGCAGGAGUGACUAUCGGGCACGCCACAGUGCCAGGAGCAGUAAUCGCAGCCCACCAGAUGGAAUGAAUUCAUAAUUGAUGCUGAUUUUCGAACUGUUUGCAGGGAUGAAGGAGCGUCAAGCAGAAGGGUGCUGAGAGUCUGCAGCCCUCCGAGCCUUUUGUAAUGUGCUGCAACAUCUGGAGUGGGCUUCUUCAGCCACAGCGCUACUACAAAGCAAAUAGGCAAUCCAAUCUAUUUUCCAAUAGGGAGUGCCCUUCAAACACACUACCAACAUACCAACAUGUUCUCCUGUGGUAAUUAACACACUGUAUUAGCUGGUAUUCAGUGAUUACAAUAAGGGGAAAAAUGACAAUAACUUACUAACCAAUGGAAUUAGCCAGCUGAAAUAUUUAUGUAUAUACUUAAAUACACACUGGUACUGGAAACUGUGUAGUUUUUACCUAGAUUAGACAGAAAAAGUGGUCUUAACAGCAAGAAAUAUUAGAUCUAUUUAUCUGUCAGAAGCCAUGAUGUAUGUGUGUCUAUUUGUCCCAGCAUCCUUGCUCCUCUUUGAUGCCUCCUUCCACUUAAUUUAAUCAGAGCUUACAUCUUGCAGGCAUCUGGUGAGGUCAGGGUUAGGAUAGUGUUACCUGACCUCUGACACAGUGCUGCUGACCUAGCUAGAGACAAAGACCUGGGCCAGCAUCAAGGGUACUGAAAGAUAAUCCCUCUGCAUACACAGACACACAUGCACACACACAAAUUCGCUCACCAGCCACAGGCAUACUAUCCGUCAUAUAAAGUGGCACCGUGGGCUCGACAAAACCAGGGUCAGGCGCUGAUUUAAUACCUCUUACAGAUGUUCAAUCUGCUACGAUGAACAGGAAACACACAACACUCAAACCCUUCUUUAGGAGGAUGAAGACACACACGGCUUUGUUCGCUGCACACAAAUACCGUAUAGCUCUGCCUGCUUCUAAACAACGUGGCAUGACUUCCUGUUUUCCUGUUUUCCGUCAUUUGUGCUACAGGUUCUGGUCUAUGUCACAUUCUUCCUCCCUUUUAGUUGUUGUGUAUACAUUAAGUCCAAUACAUAUUUAUAUUCAAUUGUCAAAGUGUAAUUUGGCACUAAGUAGCUGUGUUUAUAAAUAAGUGGCAAAUAUUUAAAACAUACAUUUCGGCUCACACUUAAUCCCCAACUGCAAACUUACCAAAUUACACGUGUGAAUGGAUGACCACAGGAGAGCCACUAGUAAUUUAGUUAAAAAAAAAAAAAAAAACUAUCAAACAUGUUCUUCAGGCUACUCCCUGGACCAUGGUGAUCUGUCCUGCUGGUUUUUGCCACACUCAUACUACUCUAUUUGAGCUACAGUCUCACUUCAAGGAGCAAAACAAAGCCAGGAGCUUAGCAUCUCUCACUGGCUUUAGCAAUCCACAGUCUCAACAAAUAAUAAAAAAAAAAAAAAAUAAAAAAAAAAAACUUCAUAGCUUGAAUUUGUUCUACUGAUCAUUCACAUUGGCACAUUAUUAUAGGGAAAAUCCUCUUUUAUUCACCUUCAGCUGGCAAAGACAAAGGCAUACAGGGAUACACAGUGCGAUGGUCCUGAGCUCACUGGAGGCAUCUGCUGCAUCAUGGGCGACUAGGAAAUGCACUGCUGAUGCAUUAUACAUACAUCCAUUACCAGCCCACCUCCUGCACUAACCUUUGUACGGAGACACACAUUCACAUGUACAGACACACAUAGAUGGAGGAAAAGGGUUCAAUGAAUUAUGGAUCAGUACAUCAGAAUAUAAACAAUGAGCUGUGGGAGAAGCAUAGAUAUAAACAUUUGGAUACGACCAUACUCUGUGACAAAAGCUAGAGGCAACAGUAGAACCAGAGGCUUCUUGAAUAUUGUUAUAAUGGAUUAUCAUAUUUCACGUCAAGACGUGGCAGCAAAUCUGCAUAAAAAUGUAGUAAGUGUAAUAAACUGUAAUUCUCAAAAAUCAGAAGUCAAAUCAAGGUGAGGUGGAUGUGUAACUAUACUUGUGCAACUCUUGCCUUUCAUACAGCCAAGGAAUGCAGAGUCACUGUUUUCUCAAUUUGAAGUUAAAAGCUGAAUUUAAACGUGAUUGAUUCAAGCAUGAUCACCUAGUGAUUAUUUGACCAAUUCAAUAGCAAAGGACUCAAAACAGGUCACAAAUCCAAUAUUUUUUUAAAUAAAUCAAGUCCACUAAAAGCCAAAGCCCCUGAGAGCACAGAAACUGAGAAUUUUAUUGACAAUGCGUCUUUAAAGGGCACAAACACAAUAUUUUUAUUAUUGUUCUUUUGCAGAUAGAAUUCAAGAGUCUGAAAUGAAGCAUGAUGCUCUGCCACAGUGAACUCACAAAGCAUAUCUUACAAGUACUGUGUGGAAAACAAGGAGCACCCACAGAGAGACACUUACACACAAACUAAGCCACCAUUUUCUCUUUUCGUUUUGGCUAUCCAUCCAGAUUGUCCAUAGCUCUUCAAACUACUCAACACAAAACUGCUCUUCAUCGUUCUUAAAUCUAAAGAUGACAAUCUUGUGCUGGGGUGCUGCUGGGCAAAACUUUUCCAAAGCAAUGAUAACAGUUGCAGUGGUGCACCUGGAAUCUUAAAAGACAAGUUUCUCUUGCCUCAAGCUUUCUUUGUGUUAUUUUAAAUGUCAAUAGAGACAACCACACAAAAGUCAUUAAACUAUAAUUAUCUUAACAGUAUCCCAAUUUGAAAAUUUUGUGGUAUUCAUGGGCUGCAGUGAAACCCCUAUUUUAUACUUGUGCACGUUCUGACAGAAACAGAGGCAUCUAUCAAUUAAAAUGACUGGCUAUCAAUUAACUUGUUUGACUACUUUGAAAAAACAUUAAGAAUCAGAGAGUAGGAGAUGAAAAUUGACCAGAUUCCUUACCAGAUGACACUGUAGGCAUUCAUUUGUCAUUUCAAUCAAGACAGUGAAAUUUUUGAAAAUAAUAUGAAACCUCUGUCGGAGAUACAAGUCAUCUCCCCAUGUAAUCCCCAAGUCUUAGGUUUAUACACCUUUGUGCGGACAUGGCAGACCAAGAAGUCACCAGCCUCCCAGCCUGGUCCGGGAUAAUUACUCCAAACUGAAAGGCCAUCGAUCAAAGAGCAGACGAGGCAGCCAAGGCUGCCUGUGACGACUGGCCUUCUCACAGCCCUAAAAAUCAGAGGCUGCCCUGGCCUUGAAGCCUGCAGACAUGAAAGGCGCAACCAGACCAAUGCACCUGACACGGCCAGAGCAAACAUCAUCGCUCAGCAUUUCAACUCAUGUUUAGAUGAGACGCUGUGACUUUGAAUCCAGUUUGAACUUUAAGAUAAAACCCCUUCUGUCUCAUGAUAACUUUAAAGCCACAUGUGAAGCGAUUAUGAAAAUAUUUUCUCAUUGUAUAUUUACAUUUUAAUCCAGUUUUAUUAUAUAUGAUACAGGCAAAGCCAAAGAGCCAAGACAAAGUGUUUCUCUAAAUAUGAUCUGAAAUCUAAUUUGCAUUUCAUUCAUGUAUUUUGUAGCACUUUUGUGGUGAAAUAGAACUAAGUAACUUUUUUGGGAAACCUCAAACAGUAUCUAAUUCAGAACGGAACAAAAUAAAAUAAUUUGAUUUUUACUGCUUGAACAAAUAAUUUUUUUUACCCACACUAAUCAUACUUCGUUUACAUUGGCAUUAAUGUUUAAAUAGGAGAGACAGAGACAGUAAACUGCCUGAGGGUAUUUUGGGAAGGAAAGUUUUUAAAGACUUUUAAGAAAGUCGUAUGUUCUGUUUUAAUAUAAGACACAUUGUGCGACCUCUGUGUGGUCUUCUUACAGCUGGGUAGGAAGAAACCGGUAUUCCUGCUGCCAUGCCGCAUGACGCUAAUAGCUAGAUGAUGUCAGUUCUGUCAUAAAGCACUCUCACUGUGUUUCUUCGUCUGCUUUUGGUAAAGUCUUGAAAGAUUAAUUUUUUAUCAACUGGAAACACAUAACAAAAUAUAAUUUGACAGACCCACAUUUAAGAAGUUUCCUAAAAUGUGUUUUGCUCAUCAAGCAAAUUGAUAACGUAAUGUGUAGGUUAUAAUUAUCUACAUGAAAAGAUGAAGAGAGUGUGAAACCUAGUGUGCAACAGAAGAAGAAGAAAAAGAAGAGCCAAAAGAGGCCGCAAUUUACCACAGGAAACAGACAGGAAGUUUAUUCCUUCUCUGUAUCACUAUGGCAACCUCAACUUGCAUGGUGAAAAAAAGGCACAGGAAAUGAAAAGAGGAGGGGUAAAAUGAGAGGUUUCUUAACGGUUUACACAUUUUCCUCAGAGCAUACAGGCUGAAACUUGCUUUGCUGACACCUUUCACUGAAUGAAGGAAUUCAAGUUGACUUGUUACAUCAUGAAGGCAAAGCUAAUUGCAGAGUUACUGGUCUCAACUUUCACACAGAUCAGAUUUUGAAUAUGAUGUAUUAAACUAUAUAAAACUGUACUUUUUACCUGCACUAUAGUUAUUAUAUUCAAAUCAUGAUGAUGAACACUGAGUGCAGUGGAGGAAAUGUCUGCAAGCACCUUGAGAUUCCGUAUCCUAACAUCAUGAAAAGCUUAGUAAAAGUUCUGAAUCAAAUUAAAUGUUGUACCGAGAAAGUGGAAAUAAAAACAAAAGAUAAUGAAAAAACAGUGGGUGUUAACAGAGAUGAUAUUCAGCAGCUGAUGCAAGAUAAAAGGAUAUUAUCUUGUUACUGGCUUCUGCUAAAGAUAAGACUCACCGUGCUGGCAUGGUUCAGUCACACCUGAGAGUCUUGGUAAAGUAUGCUAAUCCGUCCUCUUUUCAAGGAAGUGUAUUAACUCAACAUCUGGAAAACUGAAAUUCCAUUAAUAAAACUAAAGUGCUCUACCUUCACUAGCAGAUUACUGAUCUUAAAAAGGGUCUGUACCGAUCUAAACAACUGUUAAAAUGGAUGUAAAACAGGACUGUUCAAGUUUGCAGAUGACACCAUCUUGGUUUGAGCCUCUUUGCUGAUAAUGUGUGCUCAGGAGAGAGAUGGUCUAUUCUAUGCCACUGUUUUAAGCAGUGAAUUGGAGCCACACAUGCAUGCAAGGGGAUGUCACUGCUGAUGUGACAUUGGCUUCAAACUUGAGUUGUCCUCACUAGUCACUGGGUCAUUACCUGUCACUGAACCACUAUCAAGACACUGCACGACACCAUGAAAGACAAGACAAAACAGCAGGGAAGACUGCUGGUGACACUGUCUGUACAGGCCCCCAACCAGUCUCUCUCCUCUGCAGAUUCAUUGAAAGGUGCCCUGCUCUUUCAAUCAGUCAAACGUGGUAGGUGAUAGACAGUUGCACUUUCCUUCUACUAAUUCUCUUUGACAAUGUGGUUGUGAUUAUCUGUUUGAAAUGUCAUACAGACACUCGUCAUUCCUCCAUAAUUCCAUCACACUUCCACUUUCUGUGUCAGUUUAUAAACAAACUGUGAAAAAAAAAACUUUAGUAAAAGACUUUGGUAAAAGUUUGUAGAGGAUGUGUUGUUCUGCAGGCAAGGGAAAAAAACUGUGAAAGAAACCAGUUUGAACUUGCUUAAAGAUAAUCUAUUUCCAAAAUAUGCCUGACAGAACUAAAUGUUGUCUUGCUAAAGACCACAGGCAUCUACAACAAUGAAAUGUGAAUGAGCAGAACAUUGUAUUUGUGUCAGCUCCAGGCAUGUGGUACUACUACUCACUCUGUGCCUCGACUUCCCUGUUGAAAGGCAAAUUUAACUCCACUGACAUUUCUAAGACUGACCCCACUAUAACUUGUGUACUCUUCUCAACAGUCAUUGUGGUGUGACUGUAAAUCUGUUUACCCUUAUGCGUACAUUCAUGAUCAUAUCUUUUAUUACCACUUGUGUGCUAUAGAUUGCGUUACAAUGUGAACCCAACCUCCUAUACACUUUGCGAUUUUAUAGCCUCGUGAAUUUUCACUGUGACUGCUGCUGUGACAGACCUUUUACAGCUGUUCCUGCAAUUCAAUUAUCUAAUUGUUGACUUCAGGCAUGCAUUCAGUAGCAUAAUAAGGUACAGACUAUAUGAGUGAAAUGCAUUGCCUAUGUGUAUCGUGUCACCUGGAUAGAUCCACUCAGAAUAACUGCUCUAACCUUUAAUAUAGCAAUACACAGGUUAAGGGUUAAGAACAUUUUCUCUGUCAAAACUUUUUCUCUAAAAUUGUUUUCAAUCCAUGCAGGUAUUACUGAUGUUCAGUUACUUUCAUGAGACACCAUGCAGGUCUCAAUACUUUAGCAAAGAAAAAGCUAUGCAACAACCCACAACUCACUGACCACUGUUGGUACUAAUUCCUUUUCUAUCAUUAUGCUAUAAAUCACUGUAAACAUCAAGAGAGCAGGAGAUAGAUUGAGAGGGGCAAAGAUUAAAAAAAGCUGAAGUGUCCAGAUUCAGAAGUUUAAGGUGUCUAUCAAGCAAAAAUAAGUUUUGUAACCUCAACACUAUAGACUCCUGGAGCUUGGCAAAGUUGCCUAUGAGAUUCAGGACAGGUUAUCUGUGUUAAUAAUGUUUAUUAUAGCCUUAUUGUGCAACUACUGCCAGAAGACAGGAUAUAUAGCUGCAGCAAGCUGCUCAGAAUUAGAUUAAAAAUAUAAAUUAGCUGAAAAAGGACCAAUGCAGCCACAGUCAUCAGAGGAUUUAAAGGUUUAAUUCUAAUAUCUUCCACAAGGGUUGAAAGAACUGCUAAUUGAGACGGGCCUUUAAGACUUCCUGACAUGAUGGAAAAUUAACCUCCAAUAUUGACUUUACUAGGUCUCCAUUAAAGCAGGAGAAUUUCUUUUAAUAUUUUUGACAUUUAAAUAACAGGCUAUAUAACUGUUGACCCAGAGAGAGUGAGUGAGUGUCUGAGUCUGAGGAUACACACAGUUGGCAAUUAAAACAGAAAAGCUGCAGUUUAAAGAACUAGUGUUUUCACAUGAGCAUGACACUUAAAUUCACAUUACGACUAGUAUCCACAAGGAGCGUGACUAGCACUGCUUGUUUUUGGAAACUUAAAUGUAGUAAUUCUAUUUUCAAAUCAAGCAACAGCAUUUAUUUAGAAUGAGCAUGGACUGAUAGUGACUACAGAUAUCUGCUGUGAUGUAUUUAGCAAAGUUAAGUUUGUACUAAAACAUUAAACAUUAAAAUACUUUAUUAAGUCAAACUUUAUCUCUGUGGGAUUUUAAUCAAUGUGUGUGUGUGUCUAUGUGUUUUUGUGUGUGUCACUGAGUGAGUACUCCACAAGAAUACGGAGCACUACCACUCUCACAGAGAACUCUUUGUGUGUGCACAUUGCCCCUGAACCAGCAAGUCCACCAAAGCCUCGUUGCAGCUUUGUUUGGCUUGCUUUCUUUUUGUUUAUUCCACUUCCUUUCAGGCUCCUCUCUGCAGCUGACCAGAGAGAUGGCCCUGGACACCGAAAGAGGAGCGAAAGAGACUCAGUUAGAGAAUGUGAGAGCCAGACACACAGGCACACAGACAGACAGACAGACAGACAGACAGACAGACAGACAAAUGCUCAAUCAAGUGAAUCUGGUUUAGAACGGGGCCAGGGUAAUUACCAGAUGAGAUGUCAGAGAAAAUCGAUUUCCAGGUUUAUGAUCGAAAUGGCACUGAACAUCUAUGAUAUUAAAAACCUGUUCAGUACUUUCUCAAUGAAAAAUAAAACAUUAGCAAUGAGGAUUUCUGAAGCCCUGGCGUAUACAACCAGGGAAGUUUUGUAUGUAACCCCAAGCUCUGUGCCAACAAGCACAAACAAGUGGGGUUUUUUUUGUCCACUCAUUGCCCAACAGUCUAUUUUUGGUUCAAUUUUGGCACACAGUUUGUCGCUAGAUAGCAGUUAUUGACAGGACUCUUCAGUGACAGCAGCUGCUCAUAUUGGCUGCAGGGAAAAACAGGUAACUGGAAAUGAAACUUUUUGGUACGCAUGCUAAAAUAUGUACAAGGGAAGUUCAUUUUUUUCUCACAGGGUUGAAAAGGGCAAUAAAUUCUUAAAACUUAUUCUGCUGAGAUCAUUUGACUGGCAUCUGAUUAGCCCAGCCAUACCAAAAUGUUCUUUUGUGCUUCUACUCCACCAUAAUUGGACAGAUGGAAAUGCAGGUCUUAUGAAAUCCAGUAAAUGUGUUCAGUGUUGUUAGUAUUUGAAGUCUGACAUUUGGGAAACUUGUAGGAAAACUUAAAGUCAGCAUCGUAAAUCAAACACCAUAAUUUAUGUCACGUCACAUGAGAUAGAAAAGAGGUCAAAAGUAUGAAAAUAAGACCAGGUCAGAGAUUUUCUUUUCGAAGACACAUACAGGCACAUACAGUCACCUCCAUUCCUGUCAGUGACAUCCUCCCAGCUGGUUAUACUGCCAAAACAGGCUUGUUUGCUUUCAAAACACACUCUGCUCCAGUGAUAAUCGCCAUAGUAACCAGAGAGCUGAAACCCUAAGCUAUCUGGAGCUUUCCGCACAUUAACAAUUACAGUUCACUGAAGCUGACAUGCAGAAGACUGUCAUCAAACACUGGGUCAAAGAUGACCAGACAAAGCAGAUUAAUUCAUUAACACUGUUUCACCGAUAGUAAUACCUCACAGUUGACUCUCCACAACAAAAACAUUUCCUUGACAACGCAGCCUGGCGACAGAGCCCUGUGGCUUCAUCGAGGAGAUGGCAUAAAGAAGAGGAGAUAAGUGACGCCAUGCCCCACACUGACACUAGAUGCUGCCCAAUACAACCAGAGUCUGAUCUGCUGACCACUGAAGAGCGCCAGUACAGGAGUGAGGAGGAAGUGGGAGGAAAAUGCAGAAGUUGUGCUUGUGAAGGUCAAGCUGAGGCACAACAGAGACAGCGCUCCAGAGGUUAAAGCCUUCAUAUUCUAAGAAAUCACUGAGUAAACCUCUUAUCAUGCAUGAUUUCAAAAUAUUUUAUAACCCUCCAUGAAGCCCUGCGCAACCUUCCUAAAUAAGGAACAUCAGAAUGACAGUGAACAUAAUCUGGAUUGUAGAGAAAAAUAAAAAAUACUACAGAUCGUGGUCUUCAGGUUUUCUACACAGAUUCAAAAUUCUGUUUUCUAAAUUGAAUUUUUUUUCCACUUAGGUGUGCAUUUUUCUGGCGCCCUUUUUGAAUUUGACUACGUCACACCCAAUCUAUCUUCCUGUGCAAGCACAACAUUUCUACAAGUACUGGGUUGGGAUUACUCAGUUUCCUGUUCACCUUCCUCACAACUACAAUAGUGGUUUCCUUGAUUGCGACCCACUCUGUUCUAAUUUUUGUUCCUCUGUAGCUUUUUUCUGCUGUCAUGUUCCUUGUCUGUCUCCAUCACUCACAUUAAAAGCGUUUUUCUUUUUUGCUUCCUCUUUCUCUUAUGCAAAUGUUGUCAAGCAGUGUCAUGUGGCCUUGCCAUUUGAUGAUGCUUUGAGAAGAGCAACAGAUCUUCUUGCUAAUUCAAAUAACAGCAGAAUUAUUAUGCAAGAAUGAAAUUGCGAAGAGGUAAGAGUCAAAAUGAUAUUUUAGAGCUGUGCUCGCGGGUUUCUGAGGUUUAUGGGCUCAGCACAUGGUUCACAAUGAAUACAGAUCUAGAGUGGGCCACAGGUUUCGUCACAAUUUGUGGCUGCCCUACAAAAUGACAGCAACUCGAGCAUGGAAGUAGGAAAUGACUUAGCGCCAAAAUGUCAUCAUAACAACACAUACCCAAGUUUAAAAUGUCUGCAAAUAUAUGAAAUCAUCAUAAUUAUCCCAAGCUGACUUAAAUACAGAAAUUAUUUGUGUGUUUUUUGUGCUGUGUGUUUUGAAACAAGCACAAAUUAAGCUCAAAAUAAAAACAACCCUGUCUUCAAGGGUUGUUAUUAAUGCUAUGAUGGACAAGCCAACAAAUGUGUAAAUACAUCUGGCAAAGUGUGCUGAAUGAUAACAACAUGCAAUUUACCCUAGAGCAUCUGCUGGUAAAAUAUUGUAUUGCACAUGGAUUUUCUCUUCAGUCUGACAAUGAAGUAGAAAGAUAAAAUGUUGGGUCUAUUAACUGACUUCCAACCUUAGGAGUCAGAGCUCAUGAGGAACGCUUUAAGGCAGAAAGUAGGGCAGAGUGAACCCAGCUGUCAUUCAGUUUCAUGCUCUGAUACCAACACUUGGGCUGCCAAAUAACAAAGUUCUGCUGAUUAUAGAGUAGAAGGAUGAUAAAUUACAUUUUUUCAGUAAAUCUUGAUAUGACAGAAAAUAUAUGCACUGCAAAUAAAAUGCAAAUAUACAACUUGUGCUACAAAUAUUUGUUUCCUUACAGAAGGUGAUUGUGUUUCCAUCUUCCACCUCCCCUCCCCUUCAACUGCUGCCUCUGUUGUGCCACAUUUUCUACUGCUUUAGGCUGUAACUCAGUUGUUUUCAGUAAAAAUGCAUCACAAUGCACUGAGAAGAACUAUCCAGUGACAGAUUAUUUUAUUGACCCUCCUUUUUUAAUUUGCACGAACCCAGUGACGCGUGACCCAGGGCUAACUGUCUACAAGUUAAUGCAAGUUAAUGCAAGGUUCCUGUGAAGGUCUGAAAGGGGCUAUUUGUCAGAAAAGUCUAGAUUUGCAAAACUCAAAACAGUGUAAAAGAUUCAUCAGCCAGUCUAUAGCUGUGGUAUAUCACAGUGAUCAGAAAUCAACCCUGGGUAAUUUUGUUAGAAUAAAGCUGGACUGUGAGAGCUCCUCCUGACAUGAGGACAGAUCCGCUGGCUGAAAAGACUAAUAACAGUAUGAUGCAACAAAACCAACUGUGGUGUAAAAAGCUUUGUGUAAGAGUCCACAAGGUGAGUCAUUUAAGACCACUGAAAGUUCUCAGGGCUGUACAUCAGUUUGACAACAGCAUUUUUCCUGCAAAGAGAAUCAAAAAGCAGCCAACUUGCUGAAAUUCGUGAUUCAGUUUUCCUCUUGGAUAAAUAAUAGGUUUGGGAAGUCAAAACAGUGGUGCCACAUUUUUUGUGUAAGUCGUGAGCUUUCAGUGAUUUCUGAAGGAAAUUAUUAAUUUAAUUAUUAUUAAUCACUGGGGAAGAUAAGAUAAGUGACAAAAAUACAUGCGUCAUAUGAUGAAAAACCAUGUUCAUUUGCUCACCAGUGAAUCACACUUGUCAAAAAGGGCAAUCAGACCAAAGUUAGUAUAAAGGUCUCAGGUUGUGUUGAUAAAUGGAGAGCAGAGUCCUAACUUUUGUCACAUAUUCCUUGUAAUAAGACAUUAUAAUCCAUAGCUGAUGAAGGUCAUGGUGUUCAUGCAGGCAGGCUGG